rnacentral:rRNA from 1 species
AUACGUAGGGUGCAAGCGUUAAUCGGAAUUACUGGGCGUAAAGCGUGCGCAGGCGGUUUUGUAAGACAGAGGUGAAAUCCCCGGGCUCAACCUGGGAACUGCCUUUGUGACUGCAAGGCUAGAGUACGGCAGAGGGGGAUGGAAUUCCGCGUGUCGCAGUGGAAUGCGUAGAUAUGCGGAGGAACACCGAUGGCGAAGGCAAUCCCCUGGGCCUGUACUGACGCUCAUGCACGAAAGCGUGGGGAGCAAACAGGAUUAGAUACCCUGGUAGUCCACGCCCUAAACGAUGUCAACUGGUUGUUGGGUCUUCAUUGACUCAGUAACGAAGCUAACGCGUGAAGUUGACCGCCUGGGGAGUACGACCGCAAGGUUGAAACUCAAAUGAAUUGGCGGGG